rnacentral:rRNA from 1 species
UCCGGAGGGUGCAAGCGUUGUCCGGAUUUAUUGGUUUUAAAGGGUGCGUAGGUGGCUAUUUAAGUCAGUGGUGAGAGCCUGCAGCUUAACUGUAGGACUGCCAUUGAUACUGAAUAGCUUGAGUACUGAUGAGGUAGGCGGAAUUGAUAGUGUAGCGGUGAAAUGCAUAGAUAUUAUCAAGAACACCGAUUGCGAAGGCAGCUUACUAAGGAGUUACUGACACUGAGGCACGAAAGCGUGGGGAUCAAACAGG